AUGGAAAAGGCGAGCAUAAGCCAGCAGGAGCUUCAGGCCAUUAAGAGCCUUAUGCUACUCAGCAACACUCACAAAAAUGCCAGUGUUGAAAACCAGCUUCUGGCACUUAAAGAAGUGAACACCAGACAAAAUCUGGAAAUCCGAGGCCUGAAAUACAAAAUCAGCAGCA